AUUUCCCUUCUUCUGAAGGAAAUAUGUCUGUUCCUCAUGGAAAUCCUCCUGAAAGUCAUCACCCUGUUCCAAACAUGGAUGGCCAGAGUUCUGUGAUACAAGGGUUGAGCAGACAACAAUAUGACCAAUUGAUGAUUUUGCUGCAACAAACUCAGUUAGGGGAAUCCAAUGCCCAGACUCCUCCUCCCAUGUAUGCUGC
rnacentral:lncRNA from 1 species